rnacentral:rRNA from 1 species
UACGUAGGGUGCAAGCGUUGUCCGGAAUUAUUGGGCGUAAAGAGCUCGUAGGCGGUUUGUCGCGUCGGCUGUGAAAUCCCGAGGCUCAACCUCGGGCCUGCAGUCGAUACGGGCAAACUAGAGUGUGGUAGGGGAGACUGGAAUUCCUGGUGUAGCGGUGAAAUGCGCAGGUAUCAGGAGGAACACCGGCGGCGAAGGCGGGUCUCUGGGCCAUAACUGACGCUGAGGAGCGAAAGCGUGGGGAGCGAACAGG